rnacentral:rRNA from 1 species
GAUGAACGCUGGCGGCGUGCUUAACACAUGCAAGUCGAACGAUGAAGCCCAGCUUGCUGGGUGGAUUAGUGGCGAACGGGUGAGCAACACGGGAGUAACCUGCCCUUGACUCUGGGAUAAGCCUGGGAAACUGGGUCUAAUACUGGAUAUGACUUCUCAUCGCAUGGUGGGGGGAGGAAAGAUUUAUUGGUCUUGGAUGGACUCGCGGCCUAUCAGCUUGUUGGUGUGGUAAUGGCUCACCAAGGCGACGACGGGUAGCCGGCCUGAGAGGGUGACCGGCCACACUGGGACUGAGGGACGGCGCAGACGGCUACGGGAGGCAGCAGUGGGGAAUAUUGCACAAUGGGCGCGAGCCUGAUGCAGCGGCGCUGCGUGUGGGAUGACGGCCUUCUGGUUGUAAACCUCUUUCAGUAGGGAAGAAGCGGGAGUGACGGUACCUACAGAAGAAGCGCCGGCUAACUACGUG